AAGGCGAACGAGCGGUUCAGU
rnacentral:misc_RNA from 1 species